GACGGGGCCCGCACAAGCGGUGGAGUAUGUGGUUUAAUUCGAUGCAACGCGAAGAACCUUACCUGGUCUUGACAUCCCGGAGACCCUUAGGAAACUAGGGGGUGCUUCCAUCUGGAAGAAUCUGGAGACAGGUGCUGCAUGGCUGUCGUCAGCUCGUGUCGUGAGAUGUUGGGUUAAGUCCCGCAGCGAGCGCAACCCUUGCCUUUAGUUGCCAGCAGUUCGGCUGGGCACUCUAAAGGGACUGCCGGUGUUAAACCGGAGGAAGGUGGGGAUGACGUCAAGUCCUCAUGGCCUUUAUGACCAGGGCUACACACGUACUACAAUGGCCGAUACAAAGGGCAGCGACACUGCGAGGUGAAGCCAAUCCCGUAAAAUCGGUCUCAGUCCGGAUUGGAGUCUGCAACUCGACUCCAUGAAGUUGGAAUCGCUAGUAAUCGUGGAUCAGCAUGCCACGGUGAAUACGUUCCCGGGCCUU
rnacentral:rRNA from 1 species